rnacentral:rRNA from 1 species
CGACAGGAAAAGCCCAGCGCUGAAUCUCAAAGGCUUGGCUUUUGAAGAAAUGUAGCGUUUUAGAGUGCUCAAUUAACCCAAUUUUAUGCACUGAGUUCAAGUCCAUCUUGAACGGGGCUACAGUCCAAAGAGGGUGCCAGGCCCGUAGUUGACUAGUGCUAAAGUUGGGUGAGCUCCUCUUUAGAGUCGGGCUGCUUGAGAGUGUAGCCCUAAGUGGGUGGUAAACUCCAUCUAAGGCUAAAUACUACCAUGAGACCGAUAGAGAACAAGUACCGUGAGGGAAAGUUGAAAAGAACUUUGAAGAGAGAGUUCAAAAGUACGUGAAACCACUCAGGGGUAAACGGAAAAGAUUCGAAGUACUGAAUUGGGGAGAUUCACGUCUUGUCGUCUUUUAAAAUUAACAAUUUAAGGAUGGCUUGCUGCCCUCUCCUGUGUUUCACAUGCGAUGGUGGAGCAAGUUGCCUCAAUUGUUUUUUUAUUUAAAAAACGGAGGACCGCACUUCUCCCAAUCAUACAGACAUCACAACCCGUUUGGUGACGGUCUAAGGGUCAAAUAAGAGCCUGGUUCUUAACUUUGGUUCUACUAAAGUUGAGGAUCAGAUGUUUGACUUGUACAGGCCGUUGUCUAGACGGUAUCAAACGUAUAUAUGCGUUGAACCGCUCAUUGUAAGCGUCAAUUGACGUUGUGCAAGUUUGAAUUGAAUUAAUUUAGCUCGGUCCUUAAAUGUUCCGGCUAGUUUUCAUUUCAACUGUUAGCAUAACGUUUCUCUGACAGUGUUCAACACGCUCGUUGGUGAUGCUAAAGAUUCGGAAACUUUUCCGACCCGUCUUGAAACACGGACCAAGGAGUCUAGCGUGUGAGCGAGUCAAUAGGUGUUAAAACCUAAAGGCGGAAUGAAAGUGUAAAAGUUUAUUUCAAACUUUUUGUUGGAGGAUAGGGGUUGUUAAUUUUUAACAAUACCCUCGCACUCCAAGGGCGUUUCGUUCUCAUUUUGAGUUGAGGCGCACCAGGAGCUUACACGCUGGUACCCGAAAGAUGGUGAACUAUGCCUGGUCAGGACGAAGCCAGGGGAAACCCUGGUGGAGGUCCGAAGCGAUUCUGACGUGCAAAUCGAUCGUCUGAGCUGGGUAUAGGGGCGAAAGACCAAUCGAACCAUCUAGUAGCUGGUUCCCUCUGAAGUUUCCCUCAGGAUAGCUGGCUCUCAAUAUGAUAAAGAGUCUCAUCCGGUAGAGCGAAUGAUUAGAGGUGAUGGGGUCGAAACGACUUCAACCUAUUCUCAAACUCCCAAUAGAUGAGAGCCCCGGCUUGCUUGAAAUUGAAGCCGUGGGACUCGGAUCAGAGAGGCCAAGUGGGCCAAUUUUGGUAAGCAGAACUGGCGCUGUGGGAUGAACCAAACGCAGAGUUAAGGCGCCUGAUUCGACGCUCAUCCGAAACCAUGAAAGGCGUUGGUUGCUUAAGACAGCAGGACGGUGGCCAUGGAAGUCGGAAUCCGCUAAGGAGUGUGUAACAACUCACCUGCCGAAGCAACUAGCCCUGAAAAUGGAUGGCGCUGUAGCGUCGUGCCUAUACUCUGCCGUCAAUGGCAAUGAGGGCAUCCUUCGGGAUAGAGCCAUUAUGCCUUGACGAGUAAGAGGGUCGCAGCGGUGUGCGCGGAAGGGUUUGGGCGUAAGCCCGCCUGGAGCCACCGCUGGUGCAGAUCUUGGUGGUAGUAGCAAAUACUCCAGCGAGGCCCUGGAGGACUGAUGUGGAGAAGGGUUUCUUGUGAACAGCUGUUGCACAAGAGUCAGUCGAUCCUAAGCCCUAGGAGAAAUCCGAAGCGAUGGUGUUGCCGUUAAUGUAGCUUGUGUUAUGCACAUAUAUAUUAGCGUCGGCAACCGUUUGGGCGAAAGGGAAUCCGGUUCCUAUUCCGGAACCCGGCAGCGGAACCGUUUAAAUUCGGGCCCUCAUUAGAGGUCUCGUCGGGGUGACCCGAAAUGACCCGGAGAAACCGUAGGGAGAUCCGGGGAGAGUUGUCUCUUCUCUAUAAGCGUUCGAGUUCCCUGGAAUCCUCUAGGAGGGAGAUAGGGUUUGGAACGCAAAGAGCACCGCACUUACGGCGGUGUCCGGAUCUUCCCCUCGGGCCUUGAAAAUCCGGGCGAGGGCCACGAGGAACACCGCGCCGGCUCGUACCCAUAUCCGCAGCAGGUCUCCAAGGUUAAUAGCCUCUAGUCGAUAGAAUAAUGUAGGUAAGGGAAGUCGGCAAGCUCGAUCUGUAACUUCGGGAUAAGGAUUGGCUCUGAGGAUCGUGGCGUGCCGGGCUUGGUCGGGAAGUGGAGACGUGCCAACGUGCCGGGCCUGGGCGAGGUGAAAAGUACUUGCUACUUGGACCCUAGCUCGGUCCCGUGCCUUGGCCCACCCACGGAUCUUCCUUGCUGCGAAGUUUUAGCUGUUUAGUUGCCGGUUUUAAACCCGGUGGACAGGCUAAAGUGUUCUUCGGCCGCCAUAGAACGAUCAACUUAG